rnacentral:rRNA from 1 species
AGAUUGAACGCUGGCGGUAUGCUUAACACAUGCAAGUCGAACGGCAGCACAGGGUAGCUUGCUAUCCGGGUGGCGAGUGGCGGACGGGUGAGUAACGCGUAGGAAUCUACCUUUUCGUGGGGGAUAACCCGGGGAAACUCGGGCUAAUACCACAUACGCCCUACGGGGGAAAGCGGGGGACCUUCGGGCCUCGCGCGGAACGAUGAGCCUGCGUCCUAUCAGGUAGUUGGUGAGGUAAUGGCUCACCAAGCCGACGACGGGUAGCUGGUCUGAGAGGACGACCAGCCACACUGGGACUGAGACACGGCCCAGACUCCUACGGAGGCAGCAGUGGGAAUAUGGACAUGGGGGAAACCUGAUCAGCAAUACCGCGUGUGUGAAGAGGCCUUCGGUUGUAAGCACUUUUAGCCAGGAAAGAAAGAUUAGUGCGUUAAUACCGCAGUUAGGUUUUGACGUUAC